GGNGCUAGGUGUGGGANUCNUUCCACGAGUUCCGUGCCGCAGCUAACGCAUUAAGCGCCCCGCCUGGGGAGUACGGCCGCAAGGCUAAAACUCAAAGGAAUUGACGGGGGCCCGCACAAGCGGCGGAGCAUGCGGAUUAAUUCGAUGCAACGCGAAGAACCUUACCAAGGCUUGACAUAUACCGGAAACAUCCAGAGAUGGGUGCCCCUUUUGGUCGGUAUACAGGUGGUGCAUGGUUGUCGUCAGCUCGUGUCGUGAGAUGUUGGGUUAAGUCCCGCAACGAGCGCAACCCUCGUUCUAUGUUGCCAGCACGUCAUGGUGGGGACUCAUAGGAGACUGCCGGGGUCAACUCGGAGGAAGGUGGGGAUGACGUCAAAUCAUCAUGCCCCUUAUGUCUUGGGCUUCACGCAUGCUACAAUGGCCGGUACAAAGGGCUGCGAUACCGCAAGGUGGAGCGAAUCCCAAAAAACCGGUCUCAGUUCGGAUUGGGGUCUGCAACUCGACCCCAUGAAGUCGGAGUCGCUAGUAAUCGCAGAUCAGCAACGCUGCGGUGAAUACGUUCCCGGGCCUUGUACACACCGCCCGUCAAGUCACGAAAGUCGGUAACACCCGAAGCCGGUGGCCCAACCCUUGUGGGGGGAGCCGUCGAAGGUGGGACUGGUGAUUGGGACUAAGUCG
rnacentral:rRNA from 1 species